UACGUAGGGUGCGAGCGUUAAUCGGAAUUACUGGGCGUAAAGCGUGCGCAGGCGGUUUUGUAAGUCAGAUGUGAAAUCCCCGGGCUUAACCUGGGAACUGCGUUUGAAACUACAAGGCUAGAGUGUGGCAGAGGGGGGUGGAAUUCCACGUGUAGCAGUGAAAUGCGUAGAGAUGUGGAGGAACACCGAUGGCGAAGGCAGCCCCCUGGGUUAACACUGACGCUCAGGCACGAAAGCGUGGGGAGCAAACAGU
rnacentral:rRNA from 1 species